CCUGUGCCUCCUGUAGAGCCGAGACACUGCUUGUCGAACAAAGAAUGCAGAGGGCCUGGCACAUGAUGAUUACACAGUCUUUUAAAUUUAAAAAAACGAAGAUGUUGAAUGGCACAGAUGAAUUCUCUUCAAUUCUCUGACAUUAUUUCUCAGAAAGAAACCAAGAGAGACCACUGGAGAAAAUGGCUGGUACAGAGAGAAUUUUUCCCACUAAUGGAAAUGAAUGCACAUCCAUCUUAUAACUGACAACAGAGUACUUCAACUCCCACCAUAGCCCAGAAUAUUGUUUUCUUAAUAUUAUUUUCUUGGUCGUUGAAGAGGAUGCAGCUCCCUUUGCGUCUCAACAGUUCUAUAAAGGAUGCUUGUUUACUGAGGGGAAGUGCCUUAAAAGUUGGCUUAAAGGCAUCUGCUGACUCUGACCUCAUUUUGCCCAGGAGUUGGGGGAGGGAGGAAGCAACAGGCUCUGAAACAGUGGCCACAGCUAUAAAAAUCAACAAAUAAAGUCUUUACUGUGUCUAGUCCA
rnacentral:lncRNA from 1 species